UAAGUUCAUGCAACAGGAAUUAUACUUACCAUACUUAUACAUCCAUCGUUUAAUAACACAAGCACACAUCCAAUUCACAUAAACAUAUACCUAUCACAUACAAACUCAACAUCAUACAAAUUCAUUACUCAUCAAUUCCAUGAUUUCCAUUUCCUUGUUAUUUUUCCAUAUUUAUCCCGUUGAACUACUUAGAAUUUCGAUGGAUUUUCAGGGGUACACCUAAGUGUACAAAUUCCGGGUCCGUCAAUUCAUAUUCAUGUGCGCACAUUUCCAUUUCAGAAAGCACACUCCCGUGAACCUCAUCCUUACAGCGGGAUUACCAGUCCAGGCUAAAUCCCCUGUAAUAUAAACUCAUAGAGUAUUGUCGGGAUUACCAGUCCAGGCUAAAUCCCCUGCAACGACAAUUACUCUAAUGAGCUUGGAUAUGAAUUACCAGUCCAGGCUAAAUUCAGACCCUAAUUCGGAUUACCCGUCCGGGCUAAAUCCAUUUUCCACAUAUUCUUCGGGAGGGCUAUAUCAGGAUAGGAUCACCCGUCCGGGCUAGAUCCCUUUUACCGUCAAUUCCUUUUCAAAGAUCCAUCGAAUUUUCCUUUCAUUCAACCGGGAUUUAUUUCCUCUUUUCAUCCAGAAUAUCAAUACUUCAUCAGUUAUCAUACAAUAAACAUCCAAAUCAUAUUCACAUCAAUAACAAACAUUUCAAGCAUUUAUGAAUAUAAUUCAAG
rnacentral:lncRNA from 1 species